UACAGAGGGUGCAAGCGUUAAUCGGAAUUACUGGGCGUAAAGGGUGCGUAGGUGGUUAAGUAAGUUGGAUGUGAAAUCCCCGGGCUCAACCUGGGACCUGCAUACAAAACUGCUUAGCUAGAGUAAGGUAGAGGGAAGUGGAAUUUCCGGUGUAGCGGUGAAAUGCGUAGAUAUCGGAAGGAACACCAGUGGCGAAGGCGGCUUCCUGGACCAUUACUGACACUGAGGCACGAAAGCGUGGGUAGCAAACAGG
rnacentral:rRNA from 1 species